rnacentral:pre_miRNA from 1 species
UCAAAAAAGUGGAGGAUUGGGUCUGCACUGAGUGUUGACUAAGUGAGAUUCUCAUUCCUCCAUUUCGCUGC